CCUACGGGAGGCAGCAGUGGGGGAUAUUGCACAAUGGGGGGAACCCUGAUGCAGCGACGCCGCGUGGGUGAUGAAGCGCCUCGGCACGUUAAGCCCUGUCUGCAGGGGAGUAAAUGACGGUACCUGAAGCAGAAGCCACGUCUAACUUCGUGCCAGCAGCCGCGGUAAUACGUAGGGGGCAAGCGUAAUCCGGAUUUACUGGGUGUAAAGGGGGCGCAGACGGCGAUGCAAGCCAGGAGUGAAAGCCCGGGGCCCAACCACGGGACUGCUCUUGGAACUGCGUGGCUGGAGUGUAGGAGGGGCAGGCGGAAUUCGUGGUGUAGCGGUGAAAUGCGUAGAUAUCAGGAGGAACACCGGUGGCGAAGGCGGCCUGCUGGGCUACAACUGACGUUGAGGCACGAAAGCGUGGGGAGCAAACAGGAUUAGAUAUCCCGGUAGUC
rnacentral:rRNA from 1 species